rnacentral:snoRNA from 1 species
CUCCUCUCAGGGUCACUCCUGGAGAGUUUCAAGUACUCCACCAGACUCAACUGUGGGAGGGAAAAUCAAGCAGAGGCCUAUCCAUUCCAUUCCUAACUUGGGCAGUGGCUAGCGAGUGGAAGGCAAUCUGCUACAAGU